rnacentral:lncRNA from 1 species
UGGGUGGGGAAAUUGACCUUGGAAGCAGGAGAGAAACAGCUUUUCUCUGAGAUCAGAGCAGAGAUGUGGAAGGUGUAGCUGCUGCUUGUGCCUGGGCAGGGUGGCGUUGGGCAGGUAAGUGGAGGCAGUUCUCUUCUAAUGUUCCUUUGCUGGUCUUUGUGAAGAAGGAGACAAAGCGCUCCUGUUCCCACUGAGUGGGCUGGUGGUUGCAGAAGAGAUGGAGAAUGGUGGAGGUGUAGAAUCACCAGUUGUGGAAAUCCAGGAAAAGGUUCAGCAAGCUAAAGGGUGAACGAGUCAGGGGAAUUGUCUGUGAGUGACGGGGCAGUUCUAAAUGAUGUGUCUGCUGUCCACAGCAUGGGCAGCCCUGCCCUUAUUGGACGGCACUCAUUGUUGGAAAGGUCUCUUUUAUUUUGAGUCAAAAUCGAUUUUUCUCUUGUAUCUUGUCCUUCCUUUUUCAAGCUAAACCUUCUCAUUUUCUUUCAUCAACUCAAUGGGAUGUAGUUUUCAGAGCCAAUCUGGACAUACAAUCUCUUCUCCAAAUGUGGGGCUCAUUACUGAACGUAAGGCUCUAAAUAUGCUCUCACUGGUGAGAUCCGCCUUCCUUUUUCCAAGGCUGAAUCUUUAUUAAUCCAAUCUGGAAGGUUCUAAGUUGACAAAACUAAAGGCCAUUUCUCUCUUGCAUUUCCAGCUCCAAGCAUGGUACCUGGCAGGUAAAUACUUGUUGAAUGAACAAGUGACUCUAUUUGCAGAAAUAUCCAUAAAAGGUAAUUUUGUAAAAUUUUAUAAAAGUAAUCUUUACGCCUUAGAACUGAAGUAAAGAAGAUUAAAUGGAGAUGAAAUAAAAUGGUGUGCCUGAAAAGACGUAUAAGCCAUAAAGCACUAUACAGAUGCUGGUUAUUAUCUUCAUUAUUUUCUCUAUAUUUCUGAUAACCUGGACACACUGUUUCUGAAUUCAGAAUCCAGCCUUUGCCAGUAUCUACACAGCUUAAUUACACCGCUGUUGUUCUCUCUUCUUAACUCCUGCCAGCCAGACGUCCCUACAGCCGUCUCGGUUGUUCACGUGCGUUUGUAUGAGACAUCUGGAAGUUCAAUUUGCAGAGAGGAUGCCUUUCCCUCCAGCUUAAAAAGUGUCUGUGUGUCUCAGACUCCACCUUGUUCUGGUGUUUUGGAUCCCAUCCACAUCUAGAAGCUGAUCUCAUGUGCUCCUCUAACCUUUGCUCCUCCAAGUGUGGUCACAGACCAGCGGCAUCAGCGUCUCCUGGGAGCCUGUUGGAAAUGCAGAAUCUCAGGCCCAUCCGAGACGUGCUGAGUCAGUACCUGCAUUUUAACCAGAUCCCCAGGAGCGAAGUGUGAGUAUCACUGUUCUAAGGCACUUUUACUUAAUUAACAUCUGGAAAAGCUGGUCCAUCAUGAGAUUCACG